rnacentral:rRNA from 1 species
UACAGAGGGGGCAAGCGUUAUUCGGAAUUAUUGGGCGUAAAGCGCGUGUAGGCGGUCCGGUAAGUCCGCUGUGAAAGUCGGGGGCUCAACCCUCGGAUGCCGGUGGAUACUGUCGGGCUUGAGUACGGAAGAGGCGAGUGGAAUUCCUGGUGUAGCGGUGAAAUGCGCAGAUAUCAGGAGGAACACCAAUUGCGAAGGCAGCUCGCUGGGACGUUACUGACGCUGAGACGCGAAAGCGUGGGGAGCAAACAGG